AUGAAAAUGAAGAGACGAAUUAGUAAUUAUGAAUCAAUUUAAGAAACCGGAUGGGUGUUGAAAAUCCGGAUUGAUUAAUGAUGAACUCAUCGUCGAAUGCUUGAUUGAAAUUUAGUAGGUUAAGUCGGUUAAUCGCCGUUAUCAAUGUUUAGAGUGCUCAACGCCCGUGGUCGGCGUUAAGAAUAUAGGUGGUACCGCGAUUAAUCGUCCUAUAG
rnacentral:ncRNA from 1 species